rnacentral:rRNA from 1 species
AUAUCAAUAAGCGGAGGAAAAGAAACUAACUAGGAUUACCUUAGUAGGGGCGACCGAACCGGUAAAAGCUCAAGUUUAAAAUCUGCAGUCUUGUGGCUGUUGAAUUGUAAUCUAGAGGAUUUCUCAGAAGGAUUGCGCCUCGCAUAAGCCCAUGGAACUGGGAAGCAUAGAGGGUGAAACUCCCGUACUUGGCGAAGGUGUAGCUCGGAUGAGAGGUGCCAAAGAGUCGGGUUGUUUGGGAUUUCAGCCUUAAAUGGGAGAUAAACUUCUUCUAAAGCUAAAUAUUUAUGGGAGACCGAUAGCGCACAAGUA